rnacentral:misc_RNA from 1 species
AAAAUAUGAUAACUUGAUGACCUGUGCAUAUGUAAAUUAAUCUGAUUUGAUGGUAGCCGUGUGCCAAGCAAACGAAUUUGACUAAUGAAACUUGUUGUGUGAGCAUGUGCAUAUCUAUUCAGACUCUUUGGAAGCUAGAAAUUUACAAGAAUUUAAAUCAACUUGUUUGUCAAUUCUCAUAUUUAGAAACUUAAUUAGUGAAAAAAUUCAAUUUUUUUAUUAACUUAAAAAAAGAAUUCAUUUUAAAAGAA